CAAUAGCGUAUAUUAAAGUUGUUGCAGUUAAAAAGCUCGUAGUUGGAUUUCUGGUGGGAGCGAUCGGUCUGGCGCUUAGCGCGAGUACUUGCAUCGUCUCCGGCCAUCCUUGGGGAGAGUCUGUCUGGCAUUAGGUUGUCGGGCAGAGGAUCCUCAUCGUUUACUGUGAAAAAAUUAGAGUGUUCAAAGCAGGCUUAUGCCGUUGAAUAUAUUAGCAUGGAAUAAUAAGAUAGGACUUUGGUACUAUUUUGUUGGUUUGCGCACCAAAGUAAUGAUUAAUAGGGACAGUUGGGGGUAUUCGUAUUCAGUUGUCAGAGGUGAAAUUCUUGGAUUUACGGAAGACGAACUACUGCGAAAGCAUUUACCAAGGAUGUUUNCAUUA
rnacentral:rRNA from 1 species